AAGACUAUACUUUCAGGGAUCAUUUCUACAGUUCGUUACUAAAGAAGUUUCUCUGAACAUGUGUAACACCUGAAACCAUGAGGAGGAGGUGCAGUGUUCUCUCCUGAGUGUGAAGCUGGCUUUUGGUGUUGCUUUUGCAAUGCUAUUGCCCACUGAUGACCGUUCUUCUCUUCCUUUGGGAGAGCAUGGGGUUGGAGAGUUAAACAAAUAAAU